rnacentral:rRNA from 1 species
UACGGAGGUGGCUAGCGUUGUUCGGAAUUACUGGGCGUAAAGCGCACGUAGGCGGCUUUGCAAGUCAGCGGUGAAAGCCCGGGGCUCAACCCCGGAAUUGCCUUUGAGACUGCAUCGCUAGAAUUGUGGAGAGGUAAGUGGAAUUCCGAGUGUAGAGGUGAAAUUCGUAGAUAUUCGGAAGAACACCAGUGGCGAAGGCGACUUACUGGACACAUAUUGACGCUGAGGUGCGAAAGCGUGGGGAGCAAACAGG